rnacentral:rRNA from 1 species
GAUGAACGCUGGCGGCGUGCUUAAUACAUGCAAGUCGAGCGGAAAGACCCUGCUCUUGCUGGGUUCUCGAGUGGCGCACGCGUGAGUAACACGCGAGUAUCCUCCCCUUGUCUUUCUGAUAUCACCAGGAAACUGGGGCUCAUACAGGAUAGGAGCUCCUGAUCCAUGGUGGGGGAUGGUGAGAGUCGGCUGUUGGGGAUGGACUCGCGGGUUAUCAGCUUGUUGGGGGAGUAGUUGCUUACCAAGGCUGCGACGGGUAGCCGGCCUGAGAGGGUGACCGGCCACAUUGGGACUAAGAUACGGCCCAGACGCCUACUGGAGGCAGCAGUGGGGAGUAUUGCAGAGUGGGCGCAAGCCUGAUGCAGAGACGUCGCGUGCGGGAUGACGGCCUUCGAGUUGUAAACCGCUUUCGCCGGAGACGAAGCGGGAGUGACGGUAACGGGUAAGGAAGCACCGGCUAACUACGUG